CCUACGGGUGGCAGCAGUGGGGAAUAUUGGACAAUGGGGGGAACCCUGAUCCAGCCAUGCCGCGUGUGUGAAGAAGGCCCUCGGGUUGUAAAGCACUUUCAGUGAGGAAGAACGCCUGGUGGUUAAUACCCAUCAGGAUAGAGAUUACUCACAGAAGAAGCACCGGCUAACUCCGUGCCAGCAGCCGCGGUAAUACGGAGGGUGCGAGCGUUAAUCGGAAUUACUGGGCGUAAAGCGCGCGUAGGUGGCUUGAUAAGUCGGUUGUGAAAGCCCCGGGCUCAACCUGGGAACGGCAUCCGGAACUGUCUAGCUAGAGUACAGAAGAGGAAGGUAGAAUUCCCGGUGUAGCGGUGAAAUGCGUAGAGAUCGGGAGGAAUACCAGUGGCGAAGGCGGCCUUCUGGACCGACACUGACGCUGAGGUGCGAAAGCGUGGGUAGCAAACAGGAUUAGAUACCCGAGUAGUC
rnacentral:rRNA from 1 species